rnacentral:snRNA from 1 species
GUGCUUGCUUUGUCAGCACAUAUGCUAAAACAGCAACGACGCUCAGAAAGUGGGCAAGACUCCUACACAUAUAUGGCACACAAAUUUGUGAAGAAGCCCAUAUGUUU